rnacentral:rRNA from 1 species
AUUGGACGCUGGCGGUAUGCUUAACACAUGCAAGUCGAGCGGAGAUGAGGUGCUUGCACCUUAUCUUAGCGGCGGACGGGUGAGUAAUGCUUAGGAAUCUGCCUAUUAGUGGGGGACAACAUUCCGAAAGGAAUGCUAAUACCGCAUACGUCCUACGGGAGAAAGCAGGGGAUCUUCGGACCUUGCGCUAAUAGAUGAGCCUAAGUCGGAUUAGCUAGUUGGUGGGGUAAAGGCCUACCAAGGCGACGAUCUGUAGCGGGUCUGAGAGGAUGAUCGGCAAAACUGGGACGGGAACACGGCCCAGCUUCCUACGGGAGGCGCAAUUGGGGAAAAUUGACCAAUGGGGGAACCCUGAUCCAGCCAUGCCGCGUGUGUGAAGAAGGCCUUAUGGUUGUAAAGCACUUUAAGCGAGGAGGAGGCUACUGAGACUAAUACUCUUGGAUAGUGGACGUUACUCGCAGAAUAAGCACCGGCUAACUCUGUGCCAGCCGCCGCGGUAA